GUUUGGCUUAAAAAUUAUAUGUAUCAGUCCAUCCCCUGGGCCUCUCAUAGUGUCCCAUGCCAUAGCAAGAUGUGGCCCUGAAUCAUUGCCUGGCUCUACAAGUGGGCUUUGUGUACUGAAGCGGGUCACACAGUG